rnacentral:rRNA from 1 species
GUGUCAGCAGCCGCGGUAAUACGGAGGGUGCGAGCGUUAAUCGGAAUUACUGGGCGUAAAGCGCAUGCAGGUGGUUUGUUAAGUCAGUUGUGAAAGCCCGGGCCUCAACCUCGGAAUUGCAUUUGAAACUGGCAGACUAGAGUCUUGUAGACGGGGGUAGAAUUUCAGGUGUAGCGGCGAAAUGCGUAGAGAUCUGAAGGAAUACCAGUGGCGAAGGCGGCCCCCUGGACAAAGACUGACGCUCAGAUGCGAAAGCGUGGGGAGCAAACAGGAUUAGAAACCCCCGUAGUCC